GGUAAUUUUAAAUAACCCCCAAGGACUAUAGCCAAUUAUGGCUAAAACUUAAAAAUCAUGGCGGCUGGUUAAAUUCAGGGGAACUUACCUACUAAACGAUAAUCCACGAGUUGACUGUCUUUACUUAAAAGCUUGUAUACCGCCGUUUAGUAUUGAAUUAAGUUUAAUACGAAAUCUUAUAGAGAACCACAGGUUAAGGUGCAGCAAAUAGUAAAGGAUUGGCGAGUUACAAUAAAUUUUAUUUAUCGGAAAUAUAAUUUUAAAAGAUAUAGAAGAUGGACUUGAUAGUAAAUUUUAAUUAAAAUAUUAAUUGAAAAUUAAGAAAUCAGUGC
rnacentral:rRNA from 1 species